GAUGGUAUUGAUAGAAUCAUGAAUGAACCUCUUACCAUUCCGAACAGAGAAGUUAAACAUGAUUUCGCCGAUGGUACUGUGAAAACGGAAGAGUAGGUAAUGCCAACG
rnacentral:rRNA from 6 species